rnacentral:ncRNA from 1 species
GCGGAGAUAAAAACACGGCCUGGUUGGUAGUCCAGGCGUAUCCGCGGUAUCGAGCGGGUAUCAGUAACCUGCCUCCUUGGUUGUCCGUUCUCCGAA